CGAGUCGGUCGGACGGUCGCGUCGGGAGGCCUCGUGCCUCCUGCCGAGGAACGUCCGGGCUCCGAAGGGCAAGGUGGUGGGUAACGCCCACCCGGGGUGACCCGCGGGACAGUGCCACAGAGAACAGACCGCCGCGUCGGGAAGGGCUCCGGCCCCGACCGGUGCGGUAAGGGUGAAACGGUGGUGUAAGAGACCACCAGCGGACCGGGUGACCGGUCCGGCUCGGUAAACCCCACCUGGAGCAAGGUCAGACAGACUGUGUCUGAGGGCUGCCCGCCCGAUUCUCCACGGAGAAGCACAGUCGGGUAGACCGCUCGAGCCCUGCGGCGACGCAGGGCCUAGAUGGAUGACCGUCGCCCGCGCGAGGGUGACCUCGCGCGGGAACAGAACCCGGCGUACAGACCGGCUCGUCCG
rfam:Cellulosimicrobium sp. MM contig117, whole genome shotgun sequence.